ensembl:lncRNA
GGAGGCUAUAUACAGGGGGUACCGGUACAGAGUCAAUGUGGAGACUAUAUACAGGGGGUACUGGUACAGAGUCAAUGUGGAGGCUAUAUACAGGGGGUACUGGUACAGAGUCAAUGUGGAGGCUAUAUACAGGGUAUUACGGUACAGAGUCAAUGUGGAGGCUAUAUACAGGGGGUACUGGUACAGAGUCAAUGUGGAGGCUAUAUACAGGGGGUACUGGUACAGAGUCAAUGUGGAGGCUAUAUACAGGGGUACUGGUACAGAGUCAAUGUGGAGACUAUAUACAGGGUGUUACGGUACAGAGUCAAUGUGGAGACUAUAUACAGGGGGUACUGGUACAGAGUCAAUGUGGAGGCUAUAUACAGGGGGUACUGGUACAGAGUCAAUGUGGAGACUAUAUACAGGGGGUACUGGUACAGAGUCAAUGUGGAGGCUAUAUACAGGGGGUACCGGUACAGAGUCAAUGUGGAGACUAUAUACAGGGGGUACCGGUACAGAGUCAAUGUGGAGGCUAUAUACAGGGGGUACCGGUACAGAGUCAAUGUGGAGACUAUAUACAGGGG